CAUGACUGGGGAAGGAGAGUGAAGUGAUAGGGAGAGACAGCAGGAAGAAUUUGGAUUUUUGGGAUGAAGCUGUGGUCUCCCCUUUCCUUGAGCGCACAGCAAGGAGGGGUUUUAGAUUCACUGCAUGUGCAAGUUUUGCUCAAUUAUUCCUACCCUUGCAGCCACCACUCUGCAUUUACGUGGAAUUAUCCGAGAGAGAUUAUUUCUUCUUAUCAAGGACAUAGUGAGUGAAAUUGGACUCAGAAAUCAGAUUUCUCCCAG